rnacentral:misc_RNA from 1 species
UCUCCGUAGGUGAACCUGCGGAGGGAUCAUUACAGAGUUCAUGCCCUACCGGGUAGAUCUCCCACCCUAUGUUAUUAUUACUUUGUUGCUUUGGCGGGCCGUUAGGCUCCGGCCCGACUACCGGCCCCGGCUGGUAAGCGCUCGCCAGAGGACCCAAAACCCUGAAUAUUAGUGUCGUCUGAGUACUAUAUAAUAGUUAAAACUUUCAACAACGGAUCCCUUGGUUCUG